AGUGAACGCUGGCGGUAGGCCUAACACAUGCAAGUCGAACGGCAGCACAGUAAGAGCUUGCUCUUACGGGUGGCGAGUGGCGGACGGGUGAGGAAUACAUCGGAAUCUACUUUUUCGUGGGGGAUAACGUAGGGAAACUUACGCUAAUACCGCAUACGACCUACGGGGGAAAGCAGGGGAUCUUCGGACCUUUCGCGAUUGAAUGAGCCGAUGUCGGAUUAGCUAGUUGGCGGGGUAAAGGCCCACCAAGGCGACGAUCCGUAGCUGGUCUGAGAGGAUGAUCAGCCACACUGGAACUGAGACACGGCCCAGACUCCUACGGGAGGCAGCAGUGGGGAAUAUUGGACAAUGGGCGCAAGCCUGAUCCAGCCAUACCGCGUGGGUGAAGAAGGCCUUCGGGUUGUAAAGCCCUUUUGUUGGGAAAGAAAAGCAGCAGGUUAAUACCCCGCUGUUCUGACGGUACCCAAAGAAUAAGCACCGGCUAACUUCGUG
rnacentral:rRNA from 1 species